CCAUACCGCUUGAGUGAAGGACGGUCGUCGGGCUGUAAGGCCUUUUGGUAGGAAAAGGAAAUGCCAGGCUGCUUAUACCUGGGUCGGGAUGAACGUACCCAAAAGAAAUAAGCACCGGGCUAACUUUCGUGCCAGCAGCCCGCGGGUAAAUACGAAGGGGUGCAAGCGUUACUCGGAAUUUACUGGGCGUAAAGCGUGCGUAGGUGGUCGUUUAAGUCCGUUGUGAAAGCCCUGGGCUCAACCUGGGAACUGCAGUGGAUACUGGGCGACUAGAGUGUGGUAGAGGGUAGCGGAAUUCCUGGUGUAGCAGUGAAAUGCGUAGAGAUCAGGAGGAACAUCCAUGGCGAAGGCAGCUACCUGGACCAACACUGACACUGAGGCACGAAAGCGUGGGGAGCAAACAGGAUUAGAUACCCUGGUAGUCCACGCCCUAAACGAUGCGAACUGGAUGUUGGGUGCAAUUUGGCACGCAGUAUCGAAGCUAACGCGUUAAGUUCGCCGCCUGGGGAGUACGGUCGCAAGACUGAAACUCAAAGGAAUUUGACGGGGGGCCCGCACAAGCGGUGGAGUAUGUGGGUUUAAAUUUCGAUGCAACGCGAAGAACCCUUACCCUGGGCCUUGACAUGUCGAGAACUUUCCAGAGGAUGGAUGGSUGCCUUCGGGAACUCGAACACAGGUGCUGCAUGGCUGUCGUCAGCUCGUGUUCGUGAGAUGUUGGGUUAAGUCCCGCAACGAGGCGCAACCCUUG
rnacentral:rRNA from 1 species